AUUUUCUGCAAACUAGGAAUACAAGCAAGCUUCUUAACCUGAUGUAUGGCACCUUCAAAAAGCCUACAGCAAAUAUCUUACUUAGUGAUGAAAAACUGAUUGCCUUCCCCAUAAGAUUGAGAACCAGGAACUGUUCAGGAAGUCCCUGUAGUCUCUCUGCAGGCUCAUGGGAGCUCCCAGAACUGAGACAACACACGGAUUCAGGCCUGCUUUGAAGUCAGUGGGAUGAGGCCCUUGAAAGUCGAUGUAUUGGGUUCCUAGGGCUCUCAUAAAAACAUGCCACACCUGGCUGCUUUUAAACAACAGGAGUUUAUUCUGUCAGUUGAGAAGGUUAGAAGUGCAAAAUCAAGGUAUUGACGGGAUGAGUUCCAACCAGAGGCUGUGAGGCAGAUCAACUCCAUGGCUCUCUCCUGGCUUCUGCUGGCUUCUGGCAACCGUUCCCUUCCCAUGCCUGGUAGACACAUCACUCUAACCUCUGCCUCCCUUUGUCAUGGGCAUAUUCGCGUGUGUGUGUGUGUGUGUGUGUGUGUGUGUUAAGGACAGCAAUCAUUAGACUAGGUGGGGCCCACUCUAAUCCACUGUGAGCUCCUCUUACUUUGGUAACAUCUGCAAAGACCCCAUUUCCAAACAAGGUCACAUUCCAUGUUCUGGGACUGUCUUCUGAGAGAUGUCUCCCCCAGGAUCCUUCCAGGUGGAAGGAUGCCCUUUGACCUGCAAAGUCAGCCAGAAAACCAGGAUCAGGGCAGGACAAGAGGAUGCUAGCCUGUGAUGGCUCCCACUCAGGUGGGGUGUGAGGAGAAGUGCCUGUGGCCUGGGACACGCCAACUUGCUCCCAUUACCUCAUCUGAGGUGGAUUGUACAGUGUACGUCCAGGGCCUAUCCCGGCACAUCCUGCCUUUGCGAUGCUGUCUCUGCACUUUGGAAAUUCACUCAGCCCACUGCGUGGGGUGGUCUGAGGCAGGCCACCACUGUUUCUCAACCAUCCCUGAGUACCUGAGCAGUAUCCCUCAGGGGUGACGACUGGUCACAUCUGGAGCAUGAGGGGCGUGCUUACCUAGUGAGUAAGGAUGCAAGCACAGGACAUCCUGGCCGAUCCUCUGCACAAGCAAUGCCUUCGCUCCAAUGGGAUGGGCAAUGUUGGACUAGGCCUGAGGCAGAUUUGAUCUCGGAAGACACAUUAGCGUCUAUGUGUUUUGUGUGUUUAUUUUUGUUUCCUUGAAUUAACAUGCAGUCCAUUUCAACUUUCACUUAGUCUCUUUCUUUCUCUUCCCCUACUUCUUUCUCUCUCUCUUUCUUUGGAUAUGGAAGAAUUCUGACUCUGUGUUCCAUAAUGUCUAAAUACUCGAAUUUAGAGUUGAGAGCAACACAGCAAAUUAUUCAAGUUGCUGUCAAAAAAAAAAAGCCCUGUAUUUUCUAUGAUGAAAACUGUGAAUGAAGUAUCUGGAAGAAAAAAAAAUCAUAGACUCAGAUGCAAAAUGACAACAUUUAAUGGGAUGAUAAGGAAAUAAGACCUGACAAGAAGCCAUAGCAGAUUGCAGACUGUUCAGGAUGUCAGAUGGUUCAUGAUUUUUUUCCAGGUUUGAUACAGAAGAAUCGGUUUAUUAAAAGAAAUGCUUUUCCACCUGGGAUUUAAAACAUUGUUUAAACAAUAAACACAUAUAUAAAUAGAUGUUUAGAUAUAAAAACAUGCAUAUAUAGGCACAUAGACGUAUCAUACAUAUAUACACUUAUGUACCAAAACAAAAAUGAGAGAUUUAUAAAAGGUACAUAUAUAGCUGUGAAUUCUUUAAAGCUAUUUUUAAAGAAAUUAAUAGUCUUAAUGACUAUCAGAUUACUCAUGUAGUACACAGCUACACAAGUCUAAUGAAGUACCAGACACUUUUCUUUCUUCAACCAUUGUCCUAUCUUAUUUAGGCUUUCAUUUUCUUACUAGAUGUGUUUUCAAUGGUUUAUGAUGUAAUAAAAUUUCUUUACCUC
rnacentral:lncRNA from 1 species